AGUGUCACUCCCGGCCGUCUCACAGCCACCCCUGUGCUGCCCGCAGACAUUUAGGCUGGAGAUAGACGUGAUGGACCGGCGUGGGCAGAACUGCAGUGGGGCCGUGACAGUGGAAGUGCGGCCAUCGAGCUGUCCCCGUGUCACCAUCCUUGCCCCGCAGCAGGACGUGUUGGUGCCGGAGGGCAUCGGCCCCUUGGAAGUGGUCACGCAGGUCCGUGCCAGCGGGGACAACGUCCGCUAUGCCAUCCUCGCUCCCACAUCACCAGCACUCUUCACCAUCGAUGAAAUGACGGGUGAGAUCCGCAGCACACGUCGGCUGGAG
rnacentral:lncRNA from 1 species